AGAGUUUGAUCAUGGCUCAGAACGAACGCUGGCGGCGUGCUUAACACAUGCAAGUCGAACGCGAAAGGGACUUCGGUCCCGAGUAGAGUGGCGCACGGGUGAGUAACGCGUAAGUAAUCUACCCCUGUAUCUGGAAUAACCCACCGAAAGGUGAGCUAAUACCGGAUACGUUUAUCUUGAUGCGAAUGAUGAUAAAGAAAGGUGGCCUCUUCAUGAAAGCUACCGUACAGGGACGAGCUUGCGUACCAUUAGCUGGUUGGUAGGGUAAUGGCCUACCAAGGCGACGAUGGUUAGCGGGUCUGAGAGGAUGAUCCGCCACACUGGAACUGAAACACGGACCAGACUCCUACGGGAGGCAGCAGUGAGGAAUAUUGCGCAAUGGGGGCAACCCUGACGCAGCGACGCCGCGUGGACGAUGAAGGCCCUUGGGUCGUAAAAUCCUGUCAGAUGGAAAGAAAUGUACAGGUGUUAAUAUCGCCCGUAUUUGACGGUACCAUCAAAGGAAGCACCGGCUAACUCCGUGCCAGCAGCCGCGGUAAUACGGAGGGUGCGAGCGUUGUUCGGAAUUACUGGGCGUAAAGCGCGCGUAGGCGGUUUGCUAAGUCAGAUGUGAAAGCCCUCGGCUUAACCGGGGACGUGCAUUUGAAACUGGCAGACUUGAGUACUGGAGGGGGUG
rnacentral:rRNA from 1 species